GAACGCUGGCGGCAGGCUUAACACAUGCAAGUCGAACGGGCGUAGCAAUACGUCAGUGGCAGACGGGUGAGUAACGCGUGGGAACGUACCUUUUGGUUCGGAACAACACAGGGAAACUUGUGCUAAUACCGGAUAAGCCCUUACGGGGAAAGAUUUAUCGCCGAAAGAUCGGCCCGCGUCUGAUUAGCUAGUUGGUGAGGUAACGGCUCACCAAGGCGACGAUCAGUAGCUGGUCUGAGAGGAUGAUCAGCCACAUUGGGACUGAGACACGGCCCAAACUCCUACGGGAGGCAGCAGUGGGGAAUAUUGGACAAUGGGCGCAAGCCUGAUCCAGCCAUGCCGCGUGAGUGAUGAAGGCCCUAGGGUUGUAAAGCUCUUUUGUGCGGGAAGAUAAUGACGGUACCGCAAGAAUAAGCCCCGGCUAACUUCGUGCCAGCAGCCGCGGUAAUACGAAGGGGGCUAGCGUUGCUCGGAAUCACUGGGCGUAAAGGGUGCGUAGGCGGGUCUUUAAGUCAGAGGUGAAAGCCUGGAGCUCAACUCCAGAACUGCCUUUGAUACUGAGGAUCUUGAGUUCGGGAGAGGUGAGUGGAACUGCGAGUGUAGAGGUGAAAUUCGUAGAUAUUCGCAAGAACACCAGUGGCGAAGGCGGCUCACUGGCCCGAUACUGACGCUGAGGCACGAAAGCGUGGGGAGCAAACAGGAUUAG
rnacentral:rRNA from 1 species